UUGUCCGGAUUUACUGGGUGUAAAGGGCGUGUAGCCGGGAGGGCAAGUCAGAUGUGAAAUCCACGGGCUCAACUCGUGAACUGCAUUUGAAACUACUCUUCUUGAGUAUCGGAGAGGCAAUCGGAAUUCCUAGUGUAGCGGUGAAAUGCGUAGAUAUUAGGAGGAACACCAGUGGCGAAGGCGGAUUGCUGGACGACAACUGACGGUGAGGCGCGAAAGCGUGGGGAGCAAACAGGAUUAGAUACCCUGGUAGUCCACGCUGUAAACGAUGAAUACUAGGUGUGCGGGGACUGACCCCCUGCGUGCCGCAGCUAACGCAAUAAGUAUUCCACCUGGGGAGUACGAUCGCAAGGUUGAAACUCAAAGGAAUUGACGGGGGCCCGCACAAGCGGUGGAUUAUGUGGUUUAA
rnacentral:rRNA from 1 species